AAGUCGUAACAAGGUUUCCGUAGGUGAACCUGCGGAAGGAUCAUUAAUGAAUGAAAUUGAGUGGGGUUGUAGCUGGCCUUUCAUCAGGCAUGUGCACACCUCAUUCGACCACCUUCUACACCUCUGUGCACUUCUCAUGGGUUGGGUCAAGUCUGAAAUAUUGAUGAAGCCCUUCUCAUGUGUUUUAUACAAACAAUCAUGUUAUAGAAUGUCAUUAUCAUGUGUAAAAGCAAUAUAAUACAACUUUCAGCAACGGAUCUCUUGGCUCUC
rnacentral:misc_RNA from 1 species